CCUGAAAUAUAUUAGCUGGUGCCCURUGUGGACUUGUCUAUUGGUGUGAUAAUUAUCUACGCUGUGGACAUCUACAAAUAUAUGGGUUUUGCACUGCUUCUAACUGUCUGUUCAUUCAGACAAUAUAUGACAAUUUGACCUCAAAUCAGGUAGGAUUACCCGCUGAACUUAAGCAUAUCAAUAAGCGGAGGAAAAGAAACUAACAAGGAUUCCCCUAGUAACUGCGAGUGAAGCGGGAAAAGCUCAAAUUUAAAAUCUGGCGGUCUCCGGCCGUCCGAGUUGUAAUCUAGAGAAGUGUUAUCCGCGCUGGACCGUGUACAAGUCUCCUGGAAUGGAGCAUCAUAGAGGGUGAGAAUCCCGUCUUUGACACGGACUGCCAGGGCUUUGUGAUGCGCUCUCAAAGAGUCGAGUUGUUUGGGAAUGCAGCUCAAAAUGGGUGGUAAAUUCCAUCUAAAGCUAAAUAUUGGCGAGAGACCGAUAGCGAACAAGUACCGUGAGGGAAAGAUGAAAAGAACUUUGGAAAGAGAGUUAAACAGUACGUGAAAUUGCUGAAAGGGAAACGCUUGAAGUCAGUCGCGUUGGCCGGGGAUCAACCUUGCUUUUGCUGGGCGUACUUUCCGGUUGAUGGGUCAGCAUCAAUUUUGACCGUUGGAUAAAGUCCAAGGGAAUGUGGCAUCUUCGGAUGUGUUAUAGCCCUUAGUCGCAUACACCGGUUGGGAUUGAGGAACUCAGCACGCCGCAAGGCCGGGUACUUGUACCACGU
rnacentral:rRNA from 1 species